UACGAAGGGGGCUAGCGUUGCUCGGAAUCACUGGGCGUAAAGCGCACGUAGGCGGAUUUUUAAGUCAGGGGUGAAAUCCUGGAGCUCAACUCCAGAACUGCCUCUGAUACUGGGAAUCUUGAGUCCGGGAGAGGUGAGUGGAACUGCGAGUGUAGAGGUGAAAUUCGUAGAUAUUCGCAAGAACACCAGUGGCGAAGGCGGCUCACUGGCCCGGUACUGACGCUGAGGUGCGAAAGCGUGGGGAGCAAACAAG
rnacentral:rRNA from 1 species